rnacentral:lncRNA from 1 species
CAGAGUUAACAGUGGUGUAGCUCCAGAUUUCUAGGAAGAUGAAGCUGCCGCUUGCUGGAGUCUUGGCAGAACCCAUGAAAUGUUUAGUUCAUCGGGACAAUUAAAAUAGAGCCUGGUAAAUCAGCUGCCCUUUUCAGCUAGACACCAUGGGUUCCAGAAGUCUAUGCAAAGAAAAGCUUAAAUUAAUGAAAACAUUGCUAUGCUCAUGUUUUUCUACCAUGAUUAAAGUCUCCUGGGACUAAGAUGUUGUUCUUUCCCUAAAGAGUCUCCUAAUGGUAUAGAGGUGAUAGGUCCCCAGAUAGGAGACUCUGAGAAGUUCAGAUGGUUAAAAUCAUUUGAUAUAAAAAAUGAGAUGAGGUCCCAAGGGAGCCCAGAGGAGGCAGCAGUGAGCUCAGAUCAUCAUGACCUUCCAGACAGUCACAGAAGCCAUUGAGGAUCUCAGUGGUUUGCAAGGAGGAAGCCAAACUCCAGACAAGUGGAGGGUGGAGCCCCAGCCUGCUGACUCAUGCUCCAGCCUGCUGACUCAUGUCCCAGCCUGCUGACUCAUGCCCCAGCCUGCUCUCCAUUUCACCACGCUGCCUGUACACUUGUUGGGGACACAUUUCUUUAAUUGUGCCCAGAACUU